rnacentral:lncRNA from 10 species
CAAAGAGAGAGACUGAGCUGGCAGAGCCCCCUCCCCUUCCUCCUGCCUGAAAAAUGGACCUGACACCCAGAGGUACAGCAACUGUCUUGACUGUGGGACAAAGCUACACUCUAAGGGUGGCUAUGCAUUCUGAGUAAGGGACGCUCACCCACCCUGGACAACACAUUAGGUACCAGUGAAAGCUUCAUCGGGACCCACAAUGACCUCCAAGCUGGCAUUUGGGAGCCUCCAUUCAUCGGCUGAAACCAGGGGACUGCUGAUGGCAGAGGCUAAGCAGGAGAGGGGUA